rnacentral:rRNA from 1 species
AACGAACGCUGGCGGCGCGCUUAACACAUGCAAGUCGAACGAGAAGGCGUAGCAAUACGCUUGUACAGUGGCGAACGGGUGAGUAAUACGUGGGCGACCUACCCUCGAGUGGGGAAUAACCCGCCGAAAGGCGGGCUAAUGCCGCGUACGCUUCCAUCUUUAUGGAGGUGGAAGGAAAGCCGUGCCGUGGGCACGGCGCUCAAGGAUGGGCUCACGUCCUAUCAGCUUGUUGGAGGUACGGCCUACCAAGGCUCCGACGGUAGCUGGUCUGAGAGGACGAUCAGCCACACUGGCACUGCGACACGGGCCAGACUCCUACGGGAGGCAGCAGUGAGGAAUAUUGCGCAAUGGGCGAAAGCCUGACGCGGCGA